ACACUCUGGUUUCUCUACAGAUUGAAUCAGUUGCCUUUUACUAAACGUUUCCGAGGAGAGAAACAAGUCUGAGUUCUUAACUAAUUUUUUGAGGCUUUGCUUUGUCAGGGAU
ensembl:snRNA U5 U5 spliceosomal RNA